ensembl:snRNA U7 U7 small nuclear RNA
AGGAAUCAUUGCUCUUUUAGUAAUUUUCUAGAAGGAUUUCCAUAAAGGGAAUCCCAC